AUGACCUUCUUCUCCAUGUCCCAACAAAUGCCUUAUCAAAAUUCUAGAAUGUUGCAGGAUGGCCUUCCAAAUUGGAAGAUAAGAACUUUAAAGACUUUUGUUCCCAACUUGAAAUUCUCUUUAUCGAAGAAACCCGGGCAACUUCUAGGGUUCUUUCUCCUCUUCCCUCAGGUCACCGUCCUAAUCAUACUCUUGGGAAGAAGGAUAUAAGCAUAUUGCUUUCAGAGCAAAAUAGGUAAGUACCUACUUUGUAACAUGAUCAUCCCCACAGAUGGAGCUCAUAGCAGGAAAUUCCUCGGCAACUUAGAAUCACUGUUCAGAUUAAUCAAACAUCACUGGGUACUGCAUGUUGUCAUGUGGCUUUUCUUUCCUUUGAGCAAGGUUGGUUUACUAAGUGAUCGCUGAAGUAUGAGGUGUCCUUCAGCUGAAGAACAUGAACUUUUUUNNNNNNNNNNNNNNNNCCCGCCCGUCCUCCCCACUGUCCGUCACUGUAUAUCUGCAGAUCACUUUGCAUAGGCCUGUGGCGGAUAAAUGGAACUGAGGAUUGGGCGGGCGGAGCAUGCGCAGUAUAGACAGUAUUGACAAUGUUUCUCUUUGCAGAGCUCUGGAAUAUUCCGAGAAGACCAGCGCAGGCGCUGACUUAACCCCUUAUUGUGUGAAUUCACAGAAUGACCACUGGAAGAACCAUGGUUACAGGUAAGUAACCCGUCUUUCAGCCUUUUAUUGUUCUCUCUCCUGCAACAGCUAUGUUGUCUGUUGCAGUUAUUUCACUUUGACAGAUGAGAAACUAACACAUAGUUUUUAAUGAUGUUUGCAAAAUUUAACAGUGAUGGGAGUAAAGCCCAAUGCCGCACCCAAGCACCACUGGUGUGCAACUACUCUCAGCAUUGUCCAAGUAGUUCGUUUUUCCAGCUUUGUGGUUUCAUCCCAGUGUUAUUGCAAAAGCAACAUCCAGGUCAUUUCUUGGGGCUUUGGGGCAAGAUUUGACAUGGUCUGCUGAAGAAAUGCAUAACAAUGGAAGUGUUGAAAAUCACUGGAAGGAGUAAUACAGAGGGAGUUCGAGAGAGAGAGAGAGAGAGAGAGAGAGAGAGAGAGAGAGAGUUGGAGGUUGCCAUUUGGAGAAGUAGAAUGGCAAUAAAAAGGGAA
rnacentral:lncRNA from 1 species